CAGCAGCCGCGGUAAUACGUAGGGUGCAAGCGUUAAUCGGAAUUACUGGGCGUAAAGCGUGCGCAGGCGGUUAUAUAAGACAGAUGUGAAAUCCCCGGGCUCAACCUGGGAACUGCAUUUGUGACUGUAUAGCUAGAGUACGGCAGAGGGGGAUGGAAUUCCGCGUGUAGCAGUGAAAUGCGUAGAUAUGCGGAGGAACACCGAUGGCGAAGGCAAUCCCCUGGGCCUGUACUGACGCUCAUGCACGAAAGCGUGGGGAGCAAACAGGAUUAGAUACCCGCGUAGUCCCUGUCUCUUAUAC
rnacentral:rRNA from 1 species